UGGGGAAUUUUGGGCAAUGGCCGAAAGGCUGACCCAGCGACGCCGCGUGCGGGAUGACGCCUCUCGGGGUGUAAACCGCUGUCAGAGGGGAAGAAUAGCGCAGGUGCGAAUAGUGUCUGCGUGUGACGGUACCCUCAAAGGAAGCACCGGCUAACUCCGUGCCAGCAGCCGCGGUAAUACGGUGGGUGCAAGCGUUGUUCGGAUUUACUGGGCGUAAAGCGCGCGCAGGUGGGUGACCAAGUCGGAAGUGAAAUCUCGAGGCUCAACCUCGAGGCUGCUCCCGAAACUGGUCGCCUAGGGACUGGUAGAGGCUGGUAGAAUUCCCGGUGUAGCGGUGGAAUGCGUAGAGAUCGGGAAGAAUACCCGUGGCGAAGGCGGCCAGCUGGGCCAGGUCCGACACUGAGGCGCGAAAGCGUGGGGAGCAAACAG
rnacentral:rRNA from 1 species